CCUCCAAGAUACAAUUCACUUGCUCAUACCCUAGACAAAUGAACAGAACUGGUGUCAGUAUUCUGUGCUCCUGAGACA
rnacentral:lncRNA from 1 species